AGGACAGCUCUGCACUUUGUGAGGGGAACUAUAGGGUCUUUGCUCAGCUACUGGUAAUGUGGAAUUUUGUUUUUCUUUUUGUUUAUUGUUCUUCCUCUUAUAUGAGUCUUAUGGAGCUGGAUUGUCACUUCAAAUGACUAAUGUCUUCUAGUUACACCAAUUAUCACUAAUGUAUGACAAAGGAGAAAGGAAAACCAAAGGGAAAAGAAUACAUUUUUCAAAGUGUGUGACUGAGGAAACUACUCUACAACAAAAUCUACUGUUGGCUUACAUUAACCUUACAUUAAACACUCCAAUGUAAAGAGGAACCAUCCGCAUGAGACUUCACAGCCAAAACCCUGCAAGCUCCCUGAAGGCUUCUCCUGAAAUGGCAAAUGCUUGAUUCAAGGUGUUUGCUAAUCCUUGGUGUGGAAACAAGACUUUGCAAUGCAGCAGGCAAGAUACACUCCAACAACGAAGCAAGUUUUUGGAUGGAUUCCAAGAGAAAAAUAACUCUUACCUCACGGAUUUGGAGAUAGAGACCCUUGGGAAGAGGUGACAAAGAGGAACUGAGCAGAAGUUCCUGGCAAUUACUGAGGGCAGACAAGGGUGUCCCAGCUCUUCCUGAGCAUCCUGUACACCCCCAGUCUUCACGGAGGAGCUCUUCUCUGGUGACUCCAGUGAUGCCAUCACUUUCUGUCACUUCUUCCUGAAGACCAAGCCCUCCAAACAAUAGGAAGAGGUACUCAUUCAGCCCAUGAUGACACGUGGAGAUCAACUCAGAACACUUGGCUACAGUGAUGACUGUAUGUGUGUGUGAGAGACAGAGACAGAACUAAGGGAGAGAACAUGAGAAAACCCAGUUUCUAAUCAGAAUGGAGGGGGACAGAGAACUCUAGCAGAG
rnacentral:lncRNA from 1 species